CAUUGGGGCAUCAUCUGCAUCUCUUCUUCUUCAUUGAAGGAGGAGACAGAGGACUCCAUUUUUCUUUGUUCAUGAACACACAAGACACAUAUCACUGCCAUAGACGAGAACACUCCAUUUUCCAUUAAAGAGAACAGAAUACACCGAUCACUGAAAAAAAUCGAGAGAGAGAGACUAAGCGAGAAAGAGAGUUUGAGAAGAGAGAGCGAGAUCGGGGAAGAGAUCAGAGAGACGAACUGGGGUGGCGUAGCAAUAUAACUUUGGCAUUUGACUAUUUUUUUC
rnacentral:lncRNA from 1 species